UACGUAGGGAGCGAGCGUUGUCCGGAAUUACUGGGUGUAAAGGGAGUGUAGGCGGGAAAACAAGUCAGAUGUGAAAACUAUGGGCUCAACCUGUAGACUGCAUUUGAAACUGUUUUUCUUGAGUGAAGUAGAGGUAAGCGGAAUUCCUAGUGUAGCGGUGAAAUGCGUAGAUAUUAGGAGGAACAUCAGUGGCGAAGGCGGCUUACUGGGCUUUUACUGACGCUGAGGCUCGAAAGCGUGGGGAGCAAACAGG
rnacentral:rRNA from 1 species